CAAACCCCUAUAUGUCUCUUGCCGGUCCUCGGAUCGGCUAUGGCAAUAAACUGACGGUGAAAUAAACCUAUUGGACCCGGGGGCGGUACCCGGCGCCUCCACCACAAACCGCCGGCAAGGGCGGCUUCUGAUGGGGGCGAAAUAGGAUCGACAAGGGUGUAAAGAUCGUUCUUUUGCUCGGCAUGAUACCGCCGUUAUCGGGUCAAAAAGUGUAGUUGCAAACGACAACAACGCUAAGGGUUAUGCUCUCGCUGCCUAAUGGCGGUGCGGGAAACCCGACCUAAGCCCUCCUGGUUAGCACCUUGAGGCGGGGUUCGGAGGUACCUGGCAACAGAAACCUCCA
rnacentral:tmRNA from 1 species